CGACCGCGACCCAGGUCAGGCGGGAUCACCCGCUGAGUUUAA
rnacentral:rRNA from 2 species